GGGGGGGGCCGUGUCGGUCACCGGGGGGAUGGGGGGGGCACCGGGUCUCGUCCUCCCCGGGUUCACCGCUCCCGCACCCGGCCGGGGCUGCCCGCCGCGGGGUCGCCCCUUCCUUCCCUGCCAGCCCGCGCAACCCCCGGCAGCUGCGGCCCGGGGCUUUGGGGGGCUCCCCGUAAAGCUGGGCGGCCUCCGCUGUCCCUGCCCUCGACGGCCGUGCCCACGGGCAGACGCCCCGGGCCUCGCCCCCAGAGCCUGCGGCACCGGGGACGCCCCCGUCCUCCCCCGGCACCUGGGCAGAGGCGGCUCCCGCGGCCGCGGAGGAGGGUUCGCUGCCCGGGGUUGCCCUUCCCAGCCGCGAAGCGCGCUGAGGGGUGGGCUUCUUCCUCUUCAUCGCUGCAGCGAACUUGGUGCUGCACCAGACCGUGGAGCGUAUCCACGUGGGCAAGAAGUAUGGGGACAUCCCCCGAGGCAUCUUCGUCGUGAGAGGCGAGAACGUCGUCCUGCUGGGGGAAAUAGACCUGGAGAAGGAGAGCGACACGCCGCUGCAGCAGGUCUCCAUCGAGGAGAUCCUGGAGGAGCAGCGGCUGGAGCUGCAGGCCAAGCAGGAGUCGGAGAAGCUGAAGGUGCAGGCGCUGAAGGAGCGGGGCCUCUCGGUCCCGCGGGCGGACACCCUGGAUGAGUACUAGCGGUGCCGCCACGGACACGUCCCCCGCGGCGGGGCUGGGGUGCUGCCUGCCCACGUGCUGACGGAGCUCCCCGGGAAGGCUGCCUUUAUCUCACGAUUGCGUUUUCUGUGGCGCAGACAACUAAAAAAUCAUGGUUUCGGUUCCUCCGUGUGGAAAAGGAGGAGCAAUGGCGUUGGGCUGCCUGUUGAGGUAACGAAUGCUCUGGUGAGCGAGAGAGUUUUUGUUCCAAGGCAAAUCCCUUGGGUCUUCUUGUUUGCUUUUUCCUCAUGUGACUCUGGGCAAGAGUUCCCCUUGAUGUGUAAAUAAAUCCUUGAUCUCAACAGCA
rnacentral:lncRNA from 1 species